UGAAACAUUUCCAACUAUUUACAUCCCCGUUCUUAUCACUGAGCCUGUCGUUUAGGCAAAGCUUUAAGAAGAGGUUUUACAGUCGGCUCCGAGAGAUUUAACAGCUGGUUCAGGUCACUUAAAGUAAGAUAUGAUCUAUAAAUUGUCUACUUUAACAAUGCACUUUACCUGAUUUAACACACUCAGAAUAGCCAUCCAAAUUGUGAAAUUCUUGGAAAAUCCCAGAAAAUUACCAGAAUAAGUAACUUUUGUACUUACUGAAGACGAUUUGGAGUAAUACUCACAGAUUAGACCCAAA